ACCAGGCCGCUCGGAGACACUAAAUCAGAGUUCUGGUGUUCAUCCACCCUGGAACCCGGAUUUAAAAAUGGCCUUUUCCGAUCUCACAAGACGCCGAAGCCAUGUGGACGCUCAGGCUAAACAACUAAAAACUUUUACACACUCACCUGAAAUGGUCUCCGUGUUGAUUGGGCCAACUAGUCUGGCGCCUUAACACACCUGCUGAGAAUCAGGUGGAGUGGGCGAAUAGGCCGCGGGACCGCCAUGUUUGAAGUCGCUGCGUUUGUUAUUUGAGCAGCAGAGGACCGACCCGACCAUGGCGUCUCAGCGGUGGUUUGUUUGGCAGCUGAUGAGGAGCGGGACAGUAGGCCGCGGGACCGCCAUGUUUGAAAUCGCUGCGUUUGUUACAAGAGCAGCAGAAGGCCGCCCGACCAUGGCAUCCCAGCGAUGGUUGGUUUGGGUGCUGGCGUCCCUGAAGUAUCUGAGAAAAAAAUGGCGUCUGGAGCUAGCAGUUGAUUGAUUAUGGAUAUACUACAAUCAAGCUGAGGAUUGCUAGCAGUUGAUCGAUUAUGGAUGUACUACAAUCAAGCUGAGGAUUCCCUUCAAUCAAGUUGAGGAUUCCCUUCAAUCAAGCUGAGGAUUCCCUUCAAUCAAGUUGAGGAUCGCUUCCCUCAAGCUGAGGAUUCCCUACAAGGUGCCUGGCGGAUCCGCCCAACCCGCCAAAGGUUUGUUAAGUCAAAGAACUGUUCCAAUGGCGGGUCCAGAAGACAUCUCAAAGUAAGAGCUGCUGCUGGGUUUGCUGCUGAUGCUUUUGGCUGUGCUGGUUUGUUUUGAUUCUCUGCUGAGAAUCUACACGCUGAGAAGGAUUCUGCUGAUGAAAAUCCUUCUGUCUUGGGUCUUUUUUUGCUGUUUGCUGCUGUAGUCAUGUGACCUGUGAAGGUUUAGGUGUAACUAGCAUGUUGGAAUCUGACUUUUAUGGCUGAAAGUCAGUUGUGAUGUGAAAUAUGCCUGCCAAAGAUUUGGCAACAUUUUAGAGGAUGCAGGAAGUGAUUCAGCUUAGGCAUAGUAAAUAACACUAAUGCAAUCCUUCAUAACAUACCUACAUACUAUUAGUAAUAAUUUAAUGUGGCUAUGUUGACAUGAAUAUAGCUGCAUUAAGAUAUUUAUCUUUUUGGUGAAUAUUAUCAAAUAUAUUUUUGGGUGAAAAUAAGGUCUUUCACAUUUCUACAUACAUUUUAUUUUUAUUUUUGUAUCUUCUUAAUAUUUACGGUAGUUUGAAAUCUAAUCUAAAUAUUCCUAAAACGGGGUCCAUACUAUAAUAAUUUAAUAGCUCAAACAAAUUUUAUCCGCGUUCAACAACAAUAUAAACGUGAAAAUCGUUUUUUUGCGUUAACUCGGCGGACGGCUUCAUUUAAUUUCAUUUCUUCUGGACGACGACGGUCAACGGAGAGAUCUGCUGGAGCUACAGGUCAGAGGUAAGGUUUACACAGCCUAAUACACAACCUCUUAUUUGCAGGUUUUCAUCUGAGAUGAACUCUGUUUUCCUUCAAGAGUUGAUCCUCUGGUACCUGUCUUUCAGUGUUAAAUUUGUUUUUAACCCAGUUUUUCUCUUAGAGUAAGCUGCUGGCUGACCUGUUGGUGCAACUAAUGGUUUCUUUUUUCUCCCUGUAGCUUUUAAAAUCAUAUAAACUGUUUCUCUUUAGAUGAGGCCACCGAAGGACCUUCUGCUGUAGCUUAACUUUUUUCUCCUUUAGAAACACUCCUGGAUCCUCUCUUUCUUUUUCUGUCUCUCUCUUUAUUCAGUCUUUUCAAAUCCCCCGGGGGUAGUGACAGAUGGCCUUUCUUAUAGAGCCAACUUCUGGUUCUGCUGAAGGUUUCUUCCUGUUAAAGGGAUGAUUUUCCCCUCCACUGUCACUACAUGCAUCCUCAGUAUGAGGCAUUGCUUACUCAACUUUUAACCAAUUUAAAUAAUUUGUGCAGUGUUGGCUUUUUCUUUGGAAAGUCUUCCUGUUAAAGGGAAGUUUUUCCUUAACACUGUCACUACAUGCAUCCUCAGUAUGAGGCAUUGCUUUAGCUUGCAUAACUUUUAACCAAUGUUUGAUAACUGCAGUUUUUUUCUUUUUUAAUUUCUUUUUUUUUUUUUUUAAGUCUUGUUAAAGGGAUGCUUUUCUUCUCCACUGUCACCACUUGAAUCCUCGAUGUGUCUUACGGUGAUGGAGAAUGGUUUUGAGCUCAUGGUUGAGAGUUUACGGUCUUGUCAACACCACUUGGAAUGUGGACUGAGGGGAUUUAGAGGCUGAUCAGCAGUUUUUGUUGAGAUGGAGACUGAAGACACCAGAUGGCUUCAGACUGGUAGUUAAUGUUGGUAUCAAGAUGGGCACUAUGGUACUGGACUCUGAACCUAACAAAAGGAAAUGUUGCUUGCUACUUCUUGAAGCCACUUCUCAAGGCUUUGAAGUCGUCGGAUGAGUUAAAGGAAAUUGGUAAUAAAGGAAUACAACGAAACGGUAAAUCCAUUCCAUGCAGGAAAAACACGGUAGGCUAUAUGAAAGGAAGAUGUUCUGAUCUUGGGUACAGCAACCAGGACAGAUCCUGUAUUCUCUAGUCUAUGAUCAAAUAUGUGUAAUUCAUUCUAAAAGGUCACCUGUUGAAAGUCAAAGUGUAAAGGUGUGUGAACAAUGGCAGCUGAAGGGUAAUACCUCGUUGACAGACAGAAAAGACCUUCAUCGCCCCUCGGCUGAUGGCUGACCUUGGUGACCCUACCGUCGGGCUCAGCAGUCUUCCUCAAGAAAUGCUACAGGUAUUUUGUGGUGAAUCCUUCUCAAUCAUCUUGUUUUCGUCACUGAUUUCACCCUUCAUCGCCUCCCAAGGACGGACGGACGGAUGGAAAAGCCCUUUGUCGCCUCCCGCUGAUGGAUGACCUCAGUGACCCCAUCACCAGGCUCUGCAGGAUUUCUGGAAGAAACCCUAGAAGUGUUCCCAGAUGAGCAGGAAUCCUCCUGGAUCAUCCGAUUUCGCCCUUCGCCUCCCAACGACGGACGAAAGAGAAUGACUGAACUUGAACGACUCAGUUUUUUACAUUUUUCUAUCUGAUAAUUUUGUUUAGAGACUUCAUAAUUCAUUUUAUUUGUUUUAUUUCUAAAUAUUUAAGAUGUCUUUCGGUGUUAUAUGUUAGUUAGAAUUUAAUGUCUGGUUUAGGUUAUCCUGAUCUAGCUCUCUGGUUUUGCUGCUGUCGGUUUAGGUUUUCUACUCUUUUUGUUGUCCCGGUUAUUUUUCUCCACAGAAACUACACUGGGUCUGGCGUUCUGAUUGGCUGUGGUUCCUUCCUGGAGGAGAACAUUGGCUGACAUGAUGCU